UGGCGCCGCGGGUUCAGCUCUGUUGGCCCCUUCUCUUCUUUCUUUUUUUUUCUGUCAGUAACCCAUGUGUCUCCUGCUGCUUUUUCUGCUGUGUUUCUCUAUCUGGCAAAAUCCAAUGCCUCUCCUUUCGCCUAACUUCUCUCUCUCCUUCUUCUUGACGCUAUUGUUCUAUUUGCUCUAUUUCGGUCUCUGUCCUCCUCCUUUUUCUCCGUUGUAUUCUUUUUAUCUCUUCUCUUUUUUUUUUUACUUCCGGUGAAGUGUAUGAUUCACUGUGAGCUUACUCUGUGAGUUUAAACUGAUAUUUUUUUAUUUUUGUUCUUUGAUUCCCAUUUCGAACUGCGAAGCGGCCAUGCAUCCUCUGUCUCUCGCUUUCUUUGUGUUGCAGUGGUCCAGAUAAGCUGCCGUCUGUUCACGGCGCCUCCUUCUCCUCCAUUGUACCUUUUCUGCCUCUUCCUUUCCGGUUAGAUGACGGUUUUCUUCUCCUCGGCCGCCGCUCCUCAGAUCUCUCAAAACUGGUACUGCCAGCAAUAACCACCGUCGCCACUUCGCCUUCUACACCGGGAACUUUUUGGUGCUUUCGUUGUGCUACAUUCUCCUUCACUGUAUGAGAAAAGCUGUGAGGGAUGCUGCUCUAACAUUGCCCUACUGGAAUAAUUACAAGAAGAUGCAGAGUACAGAUCUGAGACUUGGGAGUAGGUUUCAUGAAAACGAACUUGUUGGAUUUAGUCAUUGCUUUAUGAAGGCUAAAGAAGUGAUGGGUUGAGGCUGUGAAAUGGUCAGGACAGGAGAAUUACUAAGCAGCUCCUACUGUUCCAUUUACAGUAGACGGUUUGGAGGCAAAAUUACAAAAAAAGUAUGGACCAUUGAUCUUUCUCAAAGUACACAAUGCUAACUACUUGGUUCCUAUGGAUCAGCCAAAAGCAGCAUUGGACAUGAUACAGAGGUGGCUACAAGGCAAACUCUGAAAGGUCCAGCACUCCAGUCUGAGCUCUCCAUUGAGACGCAUGUGAUGGAUUACUUGAAACACAAGCUGAAAUGCUUCAUCACAAUCUUUGUACUGAUCUAUUUAUUCAACUGCAACGUAUUGAUUUGCGAGUGGAAGUCAAGCAGAUAUAAAAAUAGAUGUAAAUGGAUGUUAAUUGUGGAGUUGAUUCGGUUCAAAGAAUUGGCUGCAGUGUGUCUUAAAAUGCCAUUCCUUCACAAAUGAACACAAAGACAGUAGCUAGCCCCGGCAAAAGCCGUUAUUGGUUGUCAUGCUAUUGUAUAUUGUAAUUCCAUUUUUUGCCUUGUAUCUAUACGAAUGGCACUUUAUCUUUGUGAUUUUGGAGGGUGUGAGGGCGUACUCCUCGUGUGUAAAUAGUUGACAAAAUUGGUACUCAUUCCAAGGCUAAUUUGUAUUUGUGCAUUCUUUG